AAUAAAACUAGCAGUAAGUUUUCAUAUCUAACAUUAAUCGUUUAUCUUAUUUAAAAAAUAUUUAUGAUUAGGAUUUUACUGCUGUUAGAUAAUAAAAUAAAAUAUGAGUAUUAUUUUAUGUCUGGCUUAUGUUUUUUUAGUUUUUUUAAAAAAAAUAAAUAAGAUGGACGAUUAAAAUUGGAAAAAAAAACUUAUGGUUGCGUUUAUU
rnacentral:pre_miRNA from 1 species